rnacentral:lncRNA from 1 species
AUGUUUAGCUUAAUUUUCUGAUUUGACCCAUGUGUGAUAAAACCCGUACAUAAGUAACUGAUCAACCAACCUACCGACAAAGCUCUCCUUGAAGACCCUGUAUUCGACCCCUGGUUGAGAAAUAUGCUGCUGAUGAGGAUGCUUUCUUUGCCGACUAUGUCGUCUCCCACAUGAAACUCUCUGAGUUGGGGUAAAAUUUGCUGAGGCAUAAGGAUGAUUGUAAGAAAGGAGGGAUGCUGGUACUAUAUUUUUAUUUUGAAAUUUGAAAGUGUUUUUGUAUUGUUAACUAGAGAUUAAGAUUACAAAAAACACAUGGCAACGCCAUGAAUCCCUGGGGUUCAGUUUUUGUUUUAUGGAUUUGCUCCAUUACUUGCUUAUGUGAUGUGGUUGGUGUUUGUUCUAUAUGAUGGAUCUUUUACCCUUUUAUCCAU